ensembl:snoRNA
AGCACUUGUGCUUUUGUUGAACUGAUAGACAAAUAUCUAAAAGACAGGUAUAAGAACAAAUCUGCCUUUGCAACCCAGAGCUCAUUGUUCAGUAUGAAUUUAUGGAUCCACAUAAGGAAUAGGAUAUA